ACUCAAAGGAAUAGACGGGGGCCCGCACAAGCAGCGGAGCGUGUGGUUUAAUUCGAUGAUACACGAAGAACCUUACCAGGGCUUGACAUGCGCGUGGUAGUGAAGCGAAAGCCGAACGACCCUUCGGGGAGCGCGCACAGGUGCUGCAUGGCUGUCGUCAGCUCGUGCCGUGAGGUGUUAGGUUAAGUCCUAUAACGAGCGCAGCCCCUAUUGCCAGUUAUACGUGUCUGGCGAGACUGCCGGUCAUAAGCCGGAGGAAGGUGGGGAUGACGUCAAGUCAGCAUGGCCUUUAUGUCCUGGGCUACACACACGCUACAAUGGCCGGUACAAUGGGCUGCCAAGCCGCGAGGCGGAGCCAAUCCCACAAAACCGGCCUCAGUUCGGAUUGUAGGCUGCAACCCGCCUGCAUGAAGCUGGAGUUGCUAGUAAACGCGCGUCAGCUAUAGUGCGUUGAAUACGUUCCCGGGCCUUGUACACACCGCCCGU
rnacentral:rRNA from 1 species